AUACAUUACACUUAAGUAAAUACUCACCAACCUCAGAGGCAUUUAAGAAAUCACGAAAAAGGAGAACAAGCUAGGUUAUCUACCUAACCACUAUAAAACCAAACUAAAACCCUAACACUAAAACUUCACUACGUGAUCUUAUCUGAGCAGAAGAUCUGGACUCUCAGUUAAGCCAAAACCCUCUCUCUAUCUCUUAAUAGAGCCACCCUCUAUGUUGCCAUGGCUGCUGGCGGCUCCGCCACUGAGGAAAGAGUGUGAGAGAUUCGGUUUUCGGUCGAUUUUGAGGUGUCCGAUUCCUGCGAUGAAGACUGCCUGCGGUCAGAGCCCGAUCUUUGUUCUUCGAUUGGGCAGUGAUGGCUUCGCGGGCUAACUCACAACCAUCAAUUUUUUUUUCAUUAUGCUUUUUCUUAGUUAUCUAUGCUUGAUUUUUUUUUCUUACAAGUAAAAUAUAGAAAAUUUUAUUUUAAAACAAGAGGGCUUGUUUUCUAUCCCCUCUCUAGCUAUAUUAUGAAUGUAUUUAAAAUUCUAUGUAAAUUCUUCUGUACAAGCAAAGCAUGAAUUGGAGUUCAAUCUAAUUUUGGAUUCUCGUAAUUUAUAAUGUUUGCUUUUGUCCAACAGGCUGUAGGUUUCUGCUGCUUGUUGCAUACCAUCAUCUGCAGGUAGUUUUAGCGACUUUCUAUGCCCGAAUGUUUGUGACUUGUUUUUCGUUUGUUAAAGGACAUUGUAGGUUUAAGUGUGAUCAAAUAAUGUAAACUUUCAGACUUUUUUACGGCAAGUUUCAUGUGUUUGAAUUAGAAUUCUUAAUAAGUGUAUAUUCCUUUCAGAUGUAUUCUGGUCUCAGAUGAGCAGUGACUCCAAUAUAAUAAACUCUUUUUAAUAGCUACUUAUUUUUUUUUAAAUAAUGAUGUAUUUGUUCAUGUUGAAUCCGAGAAUAUUGAUUGUAUUUGUUAAAAGAUUGCUAUGGUUGAAUUGAUUGAUCGGCUGACUUUGCUAGGCCGAGUUCUUAGCGCGAUAUAUUAGAAAGUGAACAAUAAGGAUGAGAGUUGGUAGAAUUAGUUGUGAUAUGGACUCUUAGAUUAUUUAUGCGUUUUUAGUUCCUAUACUUGCCAAUGGGAUAUAUGUGCACGUGCAUUAUACAUUUAUUGUUUUGAUAUAUCAACUAUAAUAACAAAUUGCUAUGUAGGUUUGGUUCACUAACUUGCUCAUAGACUAAAUUAUAAAAAGACAACACAAAUAAAAAAUUCAAUCAUUUCAGAUGGUGAUUAUGGCUUUUUCUAUCUUUUCUUUAUUGGUUGGUUUAUGGAGGGGGUAUAUUUGAACAUAGGUAGGCGGUAAUAAGAGAAUUGUUUGCAUUUGUUACAAUUGAUGCAUUUAGGUCUUGCAUGUACUAUAUUGAAUUAUAAGAUUUUGAUAAUACAUCUAUUGUCUAGAUGAGUUAGAUUUUUAUGACCAACUUUUCUUCACUAUCCUACACACCAUGUUUGUUAUGGUGGUGGGGGAUAUAUGGCUUUAUGGAAUGUGAAUGAUUGCUUACAUCUGUUAAUUGCAUGCAAUACUUGGGGAAUGAAAUCAUCAAACUCUUUUAUCAUAAAUAAAUUUGUUUCAAAGUAGAAGGAAGUGGAAUAUAGAUGAGGGAAUGAAAUCAAACUCUUUUCAUUUUCCUGCUUAUCCAUCUCUCUUCCAAGUCAUUCAUCCUGUAUAACUUCUAACCUCCCAUUCACAAUGUUAGGUUCUCAAGUUUCAAUUUUGGUUAUCUACUAUUGAGUUAUGCUUAAGUCUCAUGUAUGUGAUCCUUUACAUUGUUGAACAAUGACUAUAAGCUUUUUGUUAGUGUUAAUGGUACUUUGCCUUGACAGAGAGAUGAAAGAUGAUGCAUAAUAUUUUUUGUCAAGUGCUAAAAUUUCCACUCAUUGUUAUACAAUCCAAGUUUUUUACUUGUUAUGAUCGGUGGCGUGGUAAAUUUGAUGGAUUAGGAAUGUAGCAUAUAUUUUGGAUCAGGAGAGGUCUAGCUUCUGGAAAAUCCUUUGAAAGUCAGUUGCUUAUAUGUUAUUGUCUAACAUUAAAUAACUAGAAGAUAAUGGUUUUCCUUUGGAAUUAAUCCGGAUUUGAAACGCAUGAUGCAUGAUUUAUUUUUUCUGUUUUCGUCUGUAGGCCUGUGGCUUUAUAAUGUUGAUGUGGAAUAUGUUGGUAAUCAACUUUCACAGGCUUGUGGUAUGUAAUCAUGCUCUAUUGAUGAUCAAUAAAUUUUCAUUGCUAUAUGCUCCACUCCUUGGCUGUUAGGGUGGGAGAGAAUAUAUGGCUUUGAAGAAUUGCUUACUACUGUCGGUUGCAUUUAUGCAAUACUUCAAGGAAUGAAUUUAUCCAUCUCGUCUUUUAGAAAGACGUCCUGUUUUUUAGGCGUUUCAAACUAGAAGGAAUUGGAGGGUUGAUGUUUGAAUUGCAUUUGUUUUUCCUCCAAUUAGCUCCUAUAUUUCAUCCAUCCUAUAUAUCUACUGACUUUAAUUUCACGAUGUGAGGUUUGUCAAAUUUCAGUCUUGGUUAUUUGAUUGGAGUUGUGUACAAGUCCCUUGUAAGCAGUAUCCAAUUGUUAUGUAGAAAGCGAUGCUAGUGUUUCUUGACUGCCUGACAGUGUAGCUUUUAGCAUUUUAUUGGUGUUAAUGAUACUUGGCUUUGAAAGAAAGAUGAAGAAAGAUGAUGAUACUGUCAAUUGCUACACAUUGUUAGACAGAUCCAAUGAUUAUUAUAAACUGGGAUUGAUGGCCUGUGCUAAUGGAUCAGUGAAGGAGCAUGUAUUUUGGAUCCAAAGAAGACCUGUGCCAUGAAAAUUCUCCGAAAGUCAAUUGCUUAUGUAAUAUCUAUCGUCCGACACCAAAAAACUAGAAAAUAAGUAUAAUAAUCCUCGGAAAUUCAUCUGGGUAUGAAAUGGGCAGUGCUUGAAUAUUUUUUUCAAGCAUGUGUGGUUAA